rnacentral:rRNA from 1 species
AUGUACAUGCAUACAAUGUUAAUGCACCAAAUCCCAUCAGAACUUGGUAGUUAAGCGCACUUGGGCUAGAGUAGUACUAGGAUGGGUGGCAUCCUGAGAAGUCCUAGUGUUUUACAUG